rnacentral:rRNA from 1 species
UGGGGAAUAUUGCACAAUGGGCGCAAGCCUGAUGCAGCCAUGCCGCGUGUGUGAAGAAGGCCUUCGGGUUGUAAAGCACUUUCAGCGAGGAGGAAGGCGUUAAGGUUAAUAACCUUGGCGAUUGACGUUACUCGCAGAAGAAGCACCGGCUAACUCCGUGCCAGCAGCCGCGGUAAUACGGAGGGUGCAAGCGUUAAUCGGAAUUACUGGGCGUAAAGCGCACGCAGGCGGUUUGUUAAGUCAGAUGUGAAAUCCCCGAGCUUAACUUGGGAACUGCAUUUGAAACUGGCAAGCUAGAGUCUUGUAGAGGGGGGUAGAAUUCCAGGUGUAGCGGUGAAAUGCGUAGAGAUCUGGAGGAAUACCGGUGGCGAAGGCGGCCCCCUGGACAAAGACUGACGCUCAGGUGCGAAAGCGUGGGGCAGCAAACAGGAUUAGAUACCCUGGUAGUCCACGCUGUAAACGAUGUCGAUUUGGAGGUUGUGGGCUUGACCCGUGGCUUCCGGAGCUAACGC